rnacentral:lncRNA from 1 species
GGAUAGAAAAGCAUGUCAUAUUUUUCAUACUGAAAUUUACAACCAAACUUUUAUACAUGGCAUUAGACAGAGUACUUCACAAGCUAUUCGCGAACUUCAAAGUCUCACUCUAUCUACACAUAUACAAAGGGUUCACAAAAGAGGACGGGAUCUCAGUCCUCAUCCGGGUCGUACUCAAGAUCAUCCUGAUCCUUUUUGACUCUUCUUCACUAAGCUCAUUUCCUUCGAGCUCUUCAUCUUUUUCUAGCUCAUCGUCAUCUUCUAGUUCCUCCUCCUCAGGCUCAUCUACUGGCCUGAAAUGUUGUCCCACAACCGGGAUGAGACUACGUCUCAGCAAGUUCUACCCCAUUAAGGCCCGAUUAGUGAACCAUUAUACUAUAGGUUGUCUAAACACGCACAGGUCAGAGGACUUACCUUGGCCUCAGAUCCCACCUGCAAGUCAGUACAAUUCAUAAUAGGCACCCAUUUACUCAAAACAAAUCAAACUAGUCGAUUACAUGUCACACAAAUCAUUCCCCACGGUGGAAUAUCUAAAAGCUAGGCCAUGUGCAUUCUCCAGGACAACAUCCUAGGUCUCCGAGUCACGUGCCUCAAACCUUGGGCCCACGUGAAUUCUCUAAGGCGACCUCUUUGCCAAGGUGGUACAUCAAGUCAACGAGCCACGUGCCCUUUUAAAUGUCAUUCUCAAAUACCGAACCCACGUGCAUUCUCUAAGGCACUAGUUCGCCAAAGUGACGUAUCAGAUCACCGAGCCACGUGUCAUUUUUACAAUGCCCGGGCUCAAGUGCCUUCUCUUAGGUGCUGUUUCACCAAAGUGAUGCAUCAAUUCACCGAGCCCACGUGCCCUUUUUAUGAUGCCAUACACUGUCACUGAGCCACGUGUAUUCUCUAGAAGGGCAUACCAAGUCUCCAAGCCACAUGCAUUCUCUAAAGCGACCUCUUCGCCAAGAUGACAUAUUCAACCACCGAACUCACGUGCAUUCUCCAGGUGAUAUUCCAAUUCACCAAGCCCACGUAUUUUCUUUCAGGUGAUUACCAACUUACUUUCGAUACCGACAAUCAAUACCCAACGAUUUCUCAAUCAAAUAAUUAACAACAAUCAUUUAGGAACAUAUCCUAAAAUUCCACAUUUAAUUCAAUUUGGCAUGAUUCAAAGCUCAAAUAAAUAAACGGACUUCACCAUGAUCACCAGCAUAAAAUUCUAGUCACCGGCCAUCCCGGUUGAAUUUCUAGAAAAAUAAAUAAAUAAUUAAUUAAUUUCGAAAAUUAAUAAUUAAUUACUAAAAAUCCAAUUUAUGCCUGAAAAGCCUAAUUGAAGCCCGCUAAGGGUCAGGAAAAAUCCCGAGAUGCUUUCAAUAAAUAGUAGACUACGUCUACUUGCUAAUUGCACAAUCAAAUUGUCUAACAUGCAUCACAAUUGUCUAAUAAUCACUAUUCUAUUCUAAUCUAACCACAUAAUUGCAUUUAAUUAAAUCUAACCAACCCCUAAGCAUAAUUAGCAAACUAAGCAAGGAUUAGUGAGAUUACUCACUUGAUUGAAAGCGGAGACCGGAUUACCGUGACGGCGACGUGACGACGGCCGAAACUCGAACUUUUAGCGGCGUCGGCGGACGCUCGUGCCGGGCCCAAAAGCCUUGCAAGCCCACAGCAAAUUGCUUUGCUUGGUUGAUGGGCUUAGGCCUGAUUCUUGGGCUUAACUUGCUGGGCUUCAAAGUCUGGGUUUGUCUUCGGAUGGGCCGACCUUGCGAGCUGGGCCGAACUUGUUAGAUCUGUGGGCUUCACUGGAAAAUGGAGGCAGUGAACUGGGCUGGGCUCAAUUCUAGCCUGACUUACGGCCCAAACGGGCUGAACUAACGGGCCCCAAAAGGCCUUGGCUUGCGCUGGAAAAGAAGGUUGCUAGACUGCUCGGUGGAAUCAUGGGCUCAAGAAAAUGCUUUGCUAGGUCAUUGAUGGAGUUGCUGGGCUUCGAGACUUCAACUGGCCAAAGACACGCGGACGCUGUUGCUGCUGAAGACCAUGCGGGCUGAUGACGCAUGAAUGAAAGCAGCUGCUGGCAAAGACGUCCGUGGAGAUGCAGCUAGCAUCGUUGCCGAGAGAUGGAGCAGACGGGCUGGCUUCACUCGGUGGUCAACGAAGUGGGAAGAAAUCCGCUGCUGUUGAUCGUGAAGGAGCAAGCAUGGACGCGUGGAGAGGCAGGCGUGCUGGCCGAAGCUGGGGUCUUCGCUGGACGCACAAAGGGGCUGCAGCACUUCAUGAGACAAAGAAGUGGAGGAGAAGAAUGUCGAUUGGCUGUCAGUGGGUUUCUUUGGGCGGUCAACCGCUGGCUUUCGGUGGAAAGGAAACGCUGCACGUUGCAGGGAAAUCCAGUGCAGUGAGCGGCAGUUUCAUAGCAGCUGAAGAGGGAAAUGAAAGAAAAAGACAGCAGGUUUGGUGGGGACGGACGCUCGAAGACUAAAGGGAAAAGAAAUCAGGCAACUGGCUUGGAAGACUUUGACCGAGUGGGACAAUUGAAGGGAGAGAGAAAAUAAGAUAAGGCCGCAAGAAG